AAACCGAGUACGGGAAUUGUUAAAGCCUCCUAAUUAUUAAUUAAUAUUUUCAAAAUUCAAAAAACGGGUACGGGAAUUGUUAAAGACUCCCAAAUUAAAAGUGAUUUCCAAUGUAUAGGAAGAGACGUAAUGUAUACGAAGAGACAUAACUAAAAGCGGUUUCCAAUGUGUAAUAACUUAUUCGACAACUACAUUGUGUAUUUACUAAAGCUCAAUCAAUACAAAUUAUAAAAUCUCGGGUAUAUCAAAUCAUAACCAACAGUUAUCCACAUUUCUUUUCUCAUUUCUCCAAGAACAUCACUCAACCCUUAACAGUAUGAGUACACAAUCAUCAAUCUUCUCUAAUGCGGUAAGUUCUUUAACAUUCUAAUCCUUCCUCUUUUCUUUCUUAUUUAUGUUUAACUUUUGACAUUUGUUUCAUCAGACAUCCUUACAAUGAUGAUACUCUAUUUUACACUUUGUUCUUCAUUUCAUGGUUAUUAUAUCUAUAUUAUAUGUUUAUGCUGAAUAUAGACUACAUAUUCACGGUGAUGUUUGUAACACGUUUUCAUUGCAUCUUUAACAUUUUAAUCCUUCCUCUUUUCUUUCAUAUUUAUGUUUAACUUUUGACAUUUGUUUCAUCAGACAUCCUUACAAUGAUGAUACUCUAUUUUACACUUUGUUCUUCAUUUCAUGGUUAUUAUAUCUAUAUUAUAUGCUUAUGCUGAUUAUAGACUACAUAUUCACGGUGAUGUUUGUAAUUCUGUCGACUAGGGUAUUCAUCAUGUUAUCAUGCCUAUUUUGGUAUAUUGUAUGUCAUUUGUGUGUUGUUUCUUAUAUGUGUUUGUUCCUUAUAAAUUGGUUAUUGACUUAUGUUUGUAUGCCUAAUAUGGACGGUUUUCACGUUUUUCAUCAUUACCUUCCAUGGUUUCUGUUAUGUUUUUUUAUCUAUCUUUAUGUAUAUUUAUGUAUAACUUCAUUAUAGGUUGUUUGCAUUUUGGAAUCGAUUUUUGUGCUUUCGUAUAUGUUGUUUUCUUAUUUUGUUCUGUAACUAAUUACAUUCAAUGCUGUGCUAUAGGGCCCAUCAAAUUCGAUGGCAAGAACACGAUUUACAGCAACAUUUCGUGUUCACAAGAACAUCAUUGAAGUUCCGUUGACUUACCAUAGACAAUGGAGACUAUAUUACCCAACUUAUGUUUUAUUUGACUACAAUGGAACCAAGCAUUUUGUUAAGGUGUGCAAAUAUGGCACACGAUGCUUUUUUGCUGAUGGGCUGAAAGAGUUUAGAAGAACCCACGACAUUAAUGACAGUGUCACAAUGGUCUGCCAUCUGUUGCAGAUCCAUGGUUCCAAUACCUCUCUGAAAAUAAUUUAAUGGCAGGAGAUGAAGUUAUGUUCUUCUUUAGGUUUGACGAACAUGUAUGGGAGGUCAUAUUUAGGAAACAAGUUAUAUGGGAUGAAGACCUCCCGGUUUGAAAGACCAUGCCUAAAGUUGAUGACUUUUUUUGUUUCAAUUUUAUUUAUAUUUUGAUUAAUGUUGUUAAUCCAAUACCUUAGGGUAUUAAACAAUUUCUUUGAUUUUCUGCUGCACAGAGUUAAUGGUUAUCAACUUAUUAUGUUCAA